rnacentral:tRNA from 1 species
GCUGGGAUAGCUCAGUUUGGUAGAGCAUGAGACUCUUGAUCUCAGAGUUGUGAGUUUGAGGCCCACGCUGAAUG